rnacentral:rRNA from 1 species
CUCACCAGGUCAGGACACGGUAAGGAUUGACGGACUGAAGGCUCUUUCUCGAUUCCGUGGAAAGUGGUGCAUGGCCGUUUUUGGUUGGUGGAUCGAUCCGUCUGGUUAAUUCCGUUAACGAACGAGACCUCGGCACUCCGAAUAGCGCGGCGGACGUCGCGGCCUCCGGGCCGUCUUCCGCACGAGCUUCUUAGAGGGACCGUCCCCCGCCGGGGAAGGAGGUGCGAGGCAACGACAGGUCUGUGAUGCCCUUAGAUGUUCUGGGCCGCACGCGCAUUACACUGACGCGUCCAACGGGUGACUCCCGACCCGAAGGGGCCGGGGAAUCCGCAAGGCGCGUCGUGAUGGGGAUUGAACGUUGCAAUUGUUGUUCACGAACGAGGAAUUCCUAGUAGGCGCGGGUCAUCAACCCGCGCCGAUUACGUCCCUGCCCUUUUGUAC